UGAGGCAGGAGAAUUGCUUGAACCCAGGAGGUGGAGGUUGCAGUGAGCCGAGAUUGCGCCACAGAACUCCAGCCUGGGUGACAGAGCGAGACUCCAUCUC
rnacentral:miRNA from 10 species